GAUGAACGCUGGCGGCGUGCCUAAUACAUGCAAGUCGAGCGAACGGACGAGAAGCUUGCUUCUCUGAUGUUAGCGGCGGACGUGUGAGUAACACGUGGAUAACCUACCUAUAAGACUGGGAUAACUUCGGGAAACCGGCGCUAAUACCGGAUAAUCUUUUGAGCCGCAUGGUUCAAUAGUGAGAGUCGGUCUUUCUGUCACUUAUAGAUGGAUCCGCGCUGUAUUAGCUGGUUGGUAAGGUAACGGCUUACCAAGGCAAGGAUGCAUAGCCGACCUGAGAGGGUGAUCGGCCACACUGGAACUGAGACACGGUCCAGACUCCUACGGGAGGCAGCAGUAGGGAAUCUUACGCAAUGGGCGAAAGCCUGACGGAGCAACGCCGCGUGAGUGAUGAAGGUCUUCGGAUCGUAAAACUCUGUUAUUAGGGAAGAACAUAUGUGUAAGUAACUGUGCACAGCUUGACGGUACCUAAUCAGAAAGCCACGGCUAACUACGUG
rnacentral:rRNA from 1 species